rnacentral:sRNA from 1 species
AUAUACCCGCGUUAGGGAUUGAAACGGCAUCCUUUUGGUUGCUUAUUGUUAAGAACCAACCUUAAAAAACAAGUUGAUAACUUUAAAUUAUGAAUUUCUGCUUUCGUAGGAAUAAAAAAACCAAAAGAUAUAGUGGAAAGCCCGACCCGUA